rnacentral:rRNA from 1 species
CGGCGGACGGGUGAGUAACACGUGGAUAACCUACCUAUAAGACUGGGAUAACUUCGGGAAACCGGAGCUAAUACCGGAUAAUAUUCUGAACCGCAUGGUUCAAAAGUGAAAGACGGUCUUGCUGUCACUUAUAGAUGGAUCCGCGCUGUAUUAGCUAGUUGGUAAGGUAACGGCUUACCAAGGCAACGAUGCAUAGCCGACCUGAGAGGGUGAUCGGCCACACUGGAACUGAGACACGGUCCAG